rnacentral:rRNA from 1 species
UCCUGCCGGACCUGACUGCUAUCGGAUUGAUACUAAGCCAUGCGAGUCUUUGUAGUAAUACAAGGCAGACGGCUCAGUAACACGUAGUCAACCUACCCUAUGGACAAGAAUAAUCUCGGGAAACUGGGCAUAAUUCUUGAUAGAUCAUAAUGCCUGGAAUGGUUUAUGGUUAAAAUGAUUCGUCGCCAUAGGAUGGGACUGCGGCCUAUCAGCUUGUUGGUGAGGUAAUGGCCCACCAAGGCGAUUACAGGUACGGGCUCUGAGAGGAGAAGCCCGGAGAUGGGUACUGAGACACGGACCCAGGCCCUAUGGGGCGCAGCAGGCGAGAAAACUUUGCAAUGUGCGAAAGCACGACAAGGUUAAUCCGAGUGAUUUCUGCUAAAGAAAUCUUUUGCCAGUCAUAAAACCACUGGUGAAUAAGGGGUGGGCAAGUUCUGGUGUCAGCCGCCGCGGUAAAACCAGCACCUCAAGUGGUCAGGAUGAUUAUUGGGCCUAAAGCAUCCGUAGCCGGCUUUGUAAGUUUUCGGUUAAAUCCAUGUGCUCAACGCAUGGGCUGCCGAAAAUACUGCAUAGCUAGGGAGUGGGAGAGGUAGACGGUACUCAGUAGGAAGGGGUAAAAUCCUUUGAUCUAUUGAUGACCACCUGUGGCGAAGGCGGUCUACCAGAACACGUUCGACGGUGAGGGAUGAAAGCUGGGGGAGCAAACCGGAUUAGAUACCCGGGUAGUCCCAGCUGUAAACGAUGCAGACUCGAUGAUGCAUUGGCAUAAUAGCCAUUGCAGUGUCGCAGGGAAGCCGUUAAGUUUGCCGCCUGGG